CUGUGGUGAAUUAAGUUGAAUGUUCCCAUUUCCAAAUUUAAGCAAACCGCCAACGCCACGACAAUCUCAUUUUAUCACCACGCCUUAUAUUUAUAUUAUGCUUAUCACAAUAACAACUUAACUUCUCUCAGCUUCCACCAACGAAUUCAGAUUCUUUCACUAACAAAGAAAUGAGCGUCACCUUGUGUGGAAGUGCUUCUGCAAGUGCUUUAAUGGCGUUUCAUGGGAGUGAAUUGAUGGGUAGCUUGUGUGGACUAUCCGAAACCGGAUAUUGAUAAUACGGCUAAUUUCUUGGAAGCUGCUUACUUAUCUUCUUCCUUUCAUGCUUCUCCUCGUCCAACCAAGCCUUUGAAAGUUGUAAUUGCUAGUGCAGGUUUUGCUGGUUUAUCAACUGCAAAAUAUCUGGCAGAUGCGGGUCACCAACCUUUGUUACCAGAAGCAAGAGAUGUUCUAGGUGGAAAGGUUUUUGUGUUGUUUUAUCUUUACCACUUUCCAAUUAGUUGACGCCAAACUAAAGAUAUAUAUGUAUACUUUUCUGUUGAUUUCUUAGUCUUUUGUUAACUUCUAGAAACUUACAAAAGCUUGCUAGUUAGUGAUUAGAAGAGAGGUCUUUUUUCAGCAUCAUUGAAAAAUAGGUGAUUUCUAUAUGGAUGACAAUCUAGAAGAAGUUUUUCAUUCUGGUUGAUAUUGUGGCAUUAGUACUUUUCUGUUUAUAGGAGCAAGGAUGGACACAAUUGCAUGAUAAUUUUUGUUUCCUUCUUGAUAUCCAUAUGUAAUGCAGGGUUUUAUCUUUUCAAUUUCUUUGUCACUCAACAUUAAACUUUGGUCUUUUUCCUUAUAGGUAGCUGCCUGUAAAGAUGAUGAUGGGGACUGUUUGGGCUUGCCCAAAUAUACAGAACUUGUUCGGAGAACUUGGUAUCAAUGACCAAUUGCAGUGGAAGGAGCACUCAAUGAUAUUGGCAAUACCGAACAAGCCAGGAGAAUUCAUCCGAUUUGAUUUUCCUGAAGUCCUGCCAGCUCCUGUAAAUCGUUAGAUACUUGUACCUACCACUAAAGAAAAAAAGGAAACCCCUCGACCAUUUUUAUAUGUUCAGCUUUUUUAAAAAAAAAGUAUGUGCUCUUUACAUAGAUCUGGAAAUGCAUGUUGAAGAACCAAGGUUGGAAACAAAGAGUAAAUUGGCUUGUUGGUUUAUGUAGUUUUUACCUGAUAAAUAUUUGAACACAAGUUUAAUUCUUCCUACCAUGUCUAUGACGUAGUGGCCCGUAAUCAAUAUAUGUAUUAUAAGAAACAAAACAUGUUACUAAUUCAUUAAAAUGUUAUUAGUAAAGGUGAACUAGAAGUUUAACUUAUGAACAGAGAUUUGCAAGUUAAACCUUCUCAUUAAACAAGGAAACGAAGAAUAAUCUGCGCAAUAAAGCCAAAUCUCAUGAAUAAGAGAAAGAAGACCGCUGAAGGGUUCA